CAGACUGCUCGUGCCGCGCUGACUCUCGUGCAGCGCGGUGUUCGAGCGAUGACUGAACGUUCGUCGACGUGGUCGUGUCUUCGAUCAGUGCGCGGCGUCGUUCGAAAUAACGACAAACACGAAAGCGUGCGCGAGUCGCGCGUCUCGCGUGUCGAGUCCCGGAGCUCUUGCGCGCUCGCGCGCCGAGCGGACCGACGCGCGGUGGUUGCUGCGAUCUCACGCGCCUCGUACUACACGUUAUUACGACGACCCA
rnacentral:rRNA from 1 species